rnacentral:piRNA from 1 species
UUAUCCGCAUCAUUGUCGUGACCCCA